AGGCCUGUCGUUCAGCGGUAGGACAUCGGUCUCCAAAACCGAGAACGGGGGUUCGAUUCCCUCCAGGCCUG
rnacentral:tRNA from 1 species